rnacentral:rRNA from 1 species
AUUGAACGCUGGCGGCAUGCCUUACACAUGCAAGUCGAACGGCAGCACGGGGCAACCUGGUGGCGAGUGGCGAACGGGUGAGUAAUGCAUCGGAACGUGCCAUUGAGUGGGGGAUAACGUAGCGAAAGUUGCGCUAAUACCGCAUAUUCUGUGAGCAAGAAAGCAGGGGACCGCAAGGCCUUGCGCUCUUUGAGCGGCCGAUGUCAGAUUAGCUAGUUGGUGAGGUAACGGCUUACCAAGGCGACGAUCUGUAGCGGGUCUGAGAGGAUGAUCCGCCACACUGGAACUGAGACACGGUCCAGACUCCUACGGGAGGCAGCAGUGGGGAAUAUUGCGCAAUGGGCGAAAGCCUGACGCAGCCACGCCGCGUGAGUGAUGAAGGCCUUCGGGUCGUAAAACUCUGUCGGGAGGGACGAAGGGGGCAACCCUGACGGUACCUCGCAAGAAAGCACCGGCUAACUCUGUGCCAGCAGCCGCGGUAAU